GUGACCUCCGAUUCACCCUCACUCUCCCUCUCUUCAAACAAACAAAACGACGCCAACGCCUACAGGAGGGAGGCAGGGAGGGAGAGAGAGAGAGAGAGAGAGAGCAGGAGAGAGAGCUUCGUAAUUGACUCUGCGAUGGAAUCAGACUCCCAGAUCUUCGAGAAACCCUAGCAUUCCCUUCAAGAUUCUCUCCCAUUCCUCCAAGAACCACUUCUUACACUCUCUCUAUCUCUCCCCUAUCGCCGCCUCCAUCUCCGUCCCUCUUUCGCUCGUCUUCUUCUUCACUUCUGCUUCCGAUCGAGCUCAUUCGUCUUCGUCGGCAGAGAACCAGAAGCUCCGGUCCUUAUUCUUCCAGUUUAGCACAAUUUCGGCGGCUCAGUGCCGGUUCGCGCUGCAUUUCCGGUUCGCUCAAUGUUCCGGCGAGACCGAGAGAGAGAAAAUUCCUAGGACCUCUGACGAUUGAUCUAAUUGCGGAUUUUGGAUUGAGGUUAUGGUGUACUAGAUGAGUACCAUUGACGAUAGAGGAGGAGGCUCAUUCGUCGCCGUUCGGAGGAUUUCUCAAGGUCUCGACCGCGGCGGCAACACCUGCCAAUCAACUUCUGCUGAAGUUGUAGCAGGAUCAACAGCAUGGCUCGGCCGGGGUCUUUCUUGUGUGUGUGCACAGAGAAGAGAGAGUGAUGCUCGUCCCUCCUUUGAUUUAACCACUGUCCAGGAGGAAUGCCUGAUUAGGCUACAGAGCCGUAUAGAUGUUUCCUACGACAGUUCAAUUCCUGAGCAUCAGGAAGCUUUGAGGGCCUUGUGGAAUGCUUCCUUUCCUGAAGAAGAACUUCGUGGUUUAAUAUCUGAUCAAUGGAAGGAAAUGGGUUGGCAAGGGAAAGAUCCAUCUACAGAUUUCAGGGGUGGUGGUUUUAUUUCAUUGGAGAAUUUGUUGUACUUUGCUAGGACUUUCCCGAAAUCUUUCCAGGAUCUUCUUCGAAAGCAAGAAGGUGAUAGGUCUGUGUGGGAAUACCCAUUUGCUGUUGCUGGUGUGAAUAUCACAUUCAUGCUCAUUCAAAUGCUCGAUCUUGAAGCCGUCAAACCACGAACAAUGGUGGGAGCUACUUUCUUGAAGUUUCUAGCAGAAAAUGAAUCCGCGUUCGAUCUUAUCUAUUGCAUCACAUUCAAGCUAAUGGAUCAUCAGUGGCUUUCUAUGCGUGCAUCCUAUAUGGAUUUUAAUACAGUGAUGAAGUCCACACGCCGGCAGUUGGAAAAAGAACUAGUGCUUGAAGACGUAACACGGCUGGAAGACUUGCCUUCAUAUAGCCUUCUUUCCCAAUAGUGUAGAAGCUUGUCGUAGAGUCUAUGUAAUCAUUGGUCACAACUAGUUACAUGGUCAUCGGCAGCACUGUUAUUUCUAACUAGGAUGAUGUUUGUACUCGUGAAAUUUUCUUGCAGCGAGGCGGCAUGUUGUCAAAGAGGAAAGGGUUUUGGUUGUAUUAGUUUGUCGAGUUAAGAGGCUGGAACAAGUCUGAUGGUGAUUGAGGUUUGAAAUACAGAAUAUAGAUUCGGGGUGAGAGCGGAGGAGCAUCCUUGUCAGUUGUCCCACGAUCGAGAGGCGGAGCACUUGAAAACCCCCGCCCCGCCCUACGCCGAGGCUGGAAAAAGAGAAUAUUUGCAAUUGCGAUGCAUCAACACAAAAUCCAUAUCCCUUGUGUAAUUUCGAUACGUUGUGACAAAAGAAACGACUACCAUAUAUUAAUACGGCAAGACUCAACUCCUUGGUCACAAACUAUUUGGAUCUGGAAGUAAGCAUUUGGGUUUGACGACCUAAAUAUGUUACCAGGUUUCGCCAAGGUGGCAGUGGUGAUGAUGACCGUGGCAAGGUUGUAGGGAUGAAGGUAAUGAAGGUGAGGUUGGUGGUACGGGUGGAGUGGUGGCUUGACAAUGGUGGUAGUGGUGGUCCUGUAAAACAAGUAAUUUUUGUUGGACCUUUAUUCUUUUUUUUCUUUUUAGAUAUAUUAGGAUUUUUAUUGGUUGGAACGUCCGAUUAUUUUGAUAGGAAUUUUAUAUCUUUAUUUCCUUCUUAGCAAGUAAUUUUUUUUUCCCCACAA